CGUUCUAUGAAUGAUAUGGCAUCUAUUAUUUUGUAAACAAGCACUUUAUUAAGAACGUACUUAAUGUGAAGUGGAAGGUGUUAUUUCAGCAGCAUGUUUAUGUGGCGGUAUUUUGGUUUAGAAUCCGCGCUAAUUUACGCUGAUUUGUACUUUAUUUACGCAUCCACUAAGCACUGAUUUUUUUUUCAUAAUCGUCACUACUUAUGGUAAUUACAAUUAGAAAAAUUUUGGAUGCCUGUCAACUGCGCUUCGCCGAUUUAAAAAUAUUGGCCACAUUUAAAAUUUAGAAAAGGUUUUUCUGGUUACAUAGAAUAGCGCGAAUGCCGCCGCUUCUGUGUUACAACUCAUGAUGUAAUAUAAGACAGUUUAUUAUUACCACUAUUUAGAAGAACUCAAUGAAAACUGGAACCUAUAUAUUCGGAGAGAGAUCGCUUACAAUCCAGUGAUUUCUAUAAUCCUAUUUCCUUAUUUGAAUAACUUUUUGUGAUUUGCGGUUCGUGUAGGUGUAGGCGGGCCUCAACGUGCUAGUUCUGGUCAUCUAUUUAUCCCUCCCAGAUAUUUGACAAACAAUAAAGAAGAAGAAACAACAGAGAACAUGAUUGAUUAAAUGUAUUAAAAAAAGUACAUAAAAAGAUAAAAAUGAAAAAAAAGGGUCAUGAACUGACGGUGACAUUUUUCAUAAUAAUUUAAGAAGUACAUUUUUUCUUAACGUUUAAUUUUUUAUUUAAAUUGUGAAUGUCAUUUAAAUAGCAUUUAAUGUUUCAACGUUAUAUUUAAAUUUGUUUCUAAAAAUAAAUAGACCAACUUAUUUCUAGUAAUGAAAAGAAAAUGAGCAAUUUUUUAAGAAUAAAACGAAAAAUCAUGGACGCCGAUAUGGACACAAUAUUCAAAAAAAUGCUUUUAACGGAAAAUAAAUUCGAAGCCCAAUUUUAUUGCUUAUAUCAAUACUCUGUAAUUAAGUAAUCAAUAUUUAAUUGCAAUGCCUACCUAUAGCUUAAAGCCGUUCGUUAUUAUAAAAUUAUAUUGCAGUAAUUAUAAUAUUGCGGUAAUUAUUAUUAUUAUUCUAUUAAAGAUGAUACUUUUAGAACGUGCCUGAAUGUUACUAAUUUACAUUUUACUGUUCAGGCUCAAACGUUUACGCUCAAUUCUCAAAUAUUUCAGGAGCCCCCUUUGUGCCGCAACAAAAACAGAUUUAGGUAAAAGUGAUCGACUAGUUUUCCGAAAUAUUUUUAUACAUCUUCUUCAAAUUUCGAACAGUCUGGAUAUGUCGAAAACGAAGCCUUUAGGGUCCAAUGUUUGUAUGACUUUUUUUUUCUUAAAAAUACUAGUGAGAUUUUCAAACUACGAAAAAUCAAAAUAUCUUAAAAUGACGUAAUAUUAUACAGCGAACUCAUUUUUCUUGCCACUCAUUUCACUAUUUGUCGUCAUGUAUGAAAAACGAAACAUCACUGCCCAGGUCCAAAUCAUGGUUGUUUUAAUGGGUUUUAUAACAGAUAUUUAAAUUAAUAAUGGCAUUAAUGUAUAUUGAUAAUGAUAAUGGUAUCGACCGGUAAGUCCCUAAUAUAUAUACUAUUAAAUAUUACGUAUUUUCUAACUAAUAAAAUGGUGUAAGUGUAUAUAUUUGACAUGAUGUCAUUAUUUCUAAGGAACGGUUUUAAAGUAACAUUUUUGCAAAAAAGUGGAAUGUUUUCCUUCCAGCUUCUUAUUCGAAAUCAACCUAGAGGUAGAUCAGUAAUGAUGAGAAUACAGUACGACGGUUCUUUGUAAAUUAUGAAAAAAAAACCAUAACUAGUUUAAUUUCCUGCCAGUGUUCGUAAGAUUCAUGGGGCUGAUGUAAUAGAUCAAUUAAUUUUAUCAGUUAAACAUCUAUCAGAAGAGGCACAAGAAGCUCGCAGCACAGUUACCACAAUAUAUGUGGCGUCAUUUAAAAAAAUAUGUCGAAAAAAUACAAACAUAUGUGAGUUUCUUCAAAUUCUAGAAUGUCCGAUUCAAGACGCAUAAGAGAGCCACGUCAAAAGAAAUGCUGAAACAUGCCGUGGACGUAGAGUAAAUAGUGAUUAACUAAACAAUUUUAAAAUUAAAUUAAUAAUGUGAUAUUCCAUUGUACAAAAUAUUUGCCUGCUUAAAUCUCAGUUAAAACUAACUUGUUCCCUAUUCAUUUGAUUUUGAGAAAAGUACUUUUGCUAGGUUAACCGUGACAAACUACUAGUGACAGCUAAGGUGUCCUAAAGGAAGAUUUUUGACAUUAAUAUUAAAUUGUUUAGUAGCCUGAGUACUAAAACGUUCUAAAAAUAGUUUUAAUAACAUCAAAACAGUAAAUUCUGGAUAACAAAAUUUUAAAAAUGUCGUCUUCAGUUGUUGCCGAUGUCGAAGACGAAUUAUUAAGCCCACAAAGCCAAUUUCAUAACGUUCUCUAUAGCAACGGACCGGCGCUUCUAAAUAUUACCUCUCUCGUUAUUAAUUUUUUCCAAAACAAAUAAAAAAGUGGGCACCGUGAAAGACUUUAUCUAAGCCGAAUCGGUUUCGGUCCUUGUCAGUUCAAAGAUUGAACCGCAAUUAGAUGACGAGAUGAAGGCGCCUGCUGACUUACCCAGCCGCAUUAUCGUCAUUAUAAAAGUCAUCAUCAUUGUGUGUGGAUGCGAUGGAAGAAUAGUCCCACCAAACUAUUUAAAAACGACCUGCCGACACGACCGCUCCACGUCUGCUGCGGGCUAAAACCCUUCAGCGAUUGGCUUCUUCUCCUUUGUCGUUAGUUUUUUUUUAUCUAAUGGUUGAUUUCGAUUGUCUCUAUUAACGUUCCCGUUAUUGAAAGACU